AGUCACUGACAUUAGAUACCCGGGUAGUCCAGGGUGUAAACGCUGCAGACUUGGUGUUGGAAGCCCUUUGGGGGCAUUCGGUGCCGGAGAGAAGUUGUUAAGUCUGCUACUUGGGGAGUACGUCCGCAAGGAUGAAACUUAAAGGAAUUGGCGGGGGAGCACCGCAACGGGAGGAGCGUGCGGUUUAAUUGGAUUCAACACCGUAAAACUCACCAGGGAAGACUGUUACAUGAAGGCCGAGAUGAAGACUCUGCUAGAUUUUCAG
rnacentral:rRNA from 1 species